rnacentral:lncRNA from 1 species
ACAACUUCUGGAGAUAAUGUGAUUUACCACUUUUCGAGGAAAAAGGUCGUCGUCUUCGUGGAAAGUUUGUGAUGACGUUGAAAGGAGGCGGCGCAAGACGACCUCAGAGGCAGCACAGGUUGGCCACCAGCCACCGUGACCCCUCCCUUUGUCUUACCCGUUAUUUAUUGCAAAAUAAUGCAUCUACCCCAGAGCGACCGUACCGGCUUUGUUGACCCUGAGCGCUGGGCCCUGAAAUCGGGCAAGACACUGUUCAUGGCUGAUUGUUUUACACGUGGUAAGAAAGGGCCCCCGUGUGAAACUAGACUGAAAUCUCUUUUGCUUCAAGUUCUGUACUGUUCCUCACUUCCUCUUCUUUACCGGAAUGACUCUCUUUAAACUCACCGAUAAGCCCUUGGCUCCACUAUGUCUUCGCAUUCUUUGCUCUGUUUGGUCCUUUGUGUGUCCCCCCCACAGCCCCCCCACAUGAAAUCAACUAAGUCGGAACCUGCGAACAGUCCGGCUGUCAGGCUGGUCCACCGAUGAUGCUUUGUUAGACUUUUACAGUGUAUUUUUAAACUGUGUCUUUGUUACACACAGGAUAUCAGGAGAUUCUACGUAAUUAGCCUCUCUUUAGAAUUCUCUCAAAAUAUCAGGACGCCUGGCAAGCCAGCGCAUUUUCCCUCAGGGCAGCGAGUAGCUGAAGCUGCCUCUUUCGUCUUAGGACUGGUCAGAUUCGCUGAUUUAUUUCCUCCCUGAAGCCCCGGGAUGGGACCACGAUGCAGAGGAGUGACCAGAGGACCUCGGACAGUAAGUUGCUGCACCAUCUGGAGGAGGGGACAGAGGUCGCUUCGCAUCUGGACACCAAGGGACCUUGCGGCUGGCGUUGGGGACGGGAAACCCCAAGCCGUGAUCUGUGUGGAUGGACGGGGGACCAAGCAGGCAGCACUGGAUGCCAAAGAGUGAACACGUGGUGGCCAAGAUUGGAAGCCCCCAGAGCCUCAGCGUCACCAGGGAAUGGAAUGAGGACAGGAGCACAUUGGGUCGUGGUAUCCAAAGCGUUCAAAGUUGUUUCUGAAGAGGAGCCCAGGCCAUUGCUACCAAGGAGAAACCCAAGCUGCAAAACAGAGAGGAGGAAACACAAGAUAUUACCUGUGACGCGGGAGGAGGGAACACUUUCUUCGGGCACAAAAAUCCCUCCGCUUUUGCUCGAGAAGCAAAUACAGACUCUAAGCUGGCUGCAAAGGCUGCCGGGCUGA